AACGAACGCUGGCGGCAUGCCUAACACAUGCAAGUCGAACGAGACCUUCGGGUCUAGUGGCGCACGGGUGCGUAACGCGUGGGAACCUGCCCUUAGGUUCGGAAUAACUCCCCGAAAGGGGUGCUAAUACCGGAUAAUGUCUGCGGACCAAAGAUUUAUCGCCUUUGGAUGGGCCCGCGUUGGAUUAGCUAGUUGGUAGGGUAAAAGCCUACCAAGGCGACGAUCCAUAGCUGGUCUGAGAGGAUGAUCCGCCACACUGGGACUGAGACACGGCCCAGACUCCUACGGGAGGCAGCAGUGGGGAAUAUUGGACAAUGGGCGAAAGCCUGAUCCAGCAAUGCCGCGUGAGUGAUGAAGGCCUUAGGGUUGUAAAGCUCUUUUACCCGGGAUGAUAAUGACAGUACCGGGAGAAUAAGCUCCGGCUAACUCCGUG
rnacentral:rRNA from 1 species